GAAUAGCAGCUGUGGCAGCUGCUGCUAUGAUUAGUUUGCCUCAUUGGCUUGUUAACCAUAGCUCAGCUGGUGGGAGCACAGUCUGAAUGAGGCUUAGAGGAUGAGCUUACUGUCACUGCAUCCUGGUACACAAGCUGAUCCAGUUCGUGGACUGUGUGUGCCCACAGGCCUUUCUUCAAGGAGAGAAUGCCAGGUACUGUGCUAAAGGCUA
rnacentral:lncRNA from 1 species